CUCUUAGUGAGAUCAUCGUCCCGUCAAAUGACAACUGCGGUCGCGUCGAGCGGUCGAGUUAGUUUUGUUUUGUGAUGGCUUAUUUGUUUUGGAUGUGCCGUCUGGAAUCCUCAAGCGAUUGCGUGACUGGACUUGGAAUUCGAUCAACAAACCGGAACACGGCCAACGCUGGCCUGCUUCCAUGGACGUCAAGAGGUUGCCAGUUUGUUGCUCGGCCGUAGAGCGAACGUCUAGCAUCGGUAUGUUCGCGCUAAUGGAAGCCGCUUCCAGUAGGUACAUUGAAAAUAGGAUGCGUCCACCUGGAUAAAAGUGCCGAUGAGAAUGCCGCUCUAGUGUUUUCCCCGUGUGAUUCAGACCUGACGAUUGUCCCCGGUAAAGGGCAUCUAAGUUUGCUAUUGUGCAUCCAAUGGUUGCUUUUGUGUGAUGCAGCCGUGGAAGUAAACAAUAGAGGCAAUACGCCGGCCAACGGUGGCCAUCAAAACAGUGGAAGCAAUGCACCGAAGUAGCAAGCUAACUUUGUUCCGUUUCUCAGUUACGAUCAUCAGUCUCAAUGAUCCCACUCCGGCAGAUCUCUUUCCCGUUUGCAUGCAUCGACUGACAAUGCCACAUCACGGUUUCGCAGUGGUACCUCAGCCACCAGAUAGCGAAGCAGAAACCCCACUCGAUCUGGAUCCCGGCCAAUUACUCAGAUAAGCCAUCGAUCUAUCUCGGACACAUACAUAUGGAUCGUCAUCACAUUCCGGAUCACACUCACUCACAGUAACAAGCCAAGUCACAGCGACCCGAAUCUGAAUCACGUUCUCCAUCGCAGAGCGGCGUGAAGAGGGAGAAAGUGAAAGCAAGCUGUGAUAUUCAGCGAUUUGAUGCAGAAAAGUAAGUUGAUCAAUUCCUAUUCGGACCAACCUUCCGAUCAAAACAAUGCGGGAAAAGCAUAGGAUCGAGUGACAUCAGUUCGGAAGAGGCUUCACAGCGGCGGGUCCGCAAUUAGUGGAUCGAUUUGGAAGAUGAUAAGAAGAAAGGUUAUAAUCAGUAGCGUUCCAGGAGUCAAAACCGAUCACGUUCAAGGAGCAGAUUCUGGUUUCAAUGCGGAAGCAGUAAUCGUCAGUCUACUGACGAUGAAAGAGUCAAAGAAUUUGCAAAAUUCGAUGAGCGGAAGAAACCCGUACCGACGUCGAAAGCAACUCCUUGAAUGAAAUCCCAUGAUCGUGACCGAUCUCGAUCUUGUCGGGAAAACCUCUAAAACUCCCAUUCAGUGCCGCCCCUUUGAUGUUGGAACCUAUGAAGAUGAUAUCGACGAAAAGGAAACCCUGGAUGAAGAAAGUCGACAACGCUUGAAGCUGACAGCCGGAAAUACCACCCGUUAGCGUAAACCCACGGGACCUGCGGGCACGAAACGUGGACCAUCCGUACCAACGCGCCCUAGAAGUUUCGGAUAACAAUCCCGAAGAAGGGAUACUGAUGGUGAUAACAGACACAUCGACGUCCAGAGGAGACUCCGGAAGGUGUUUUGAUGAUGAGCAAAUCAAAAAUGUACCGCACAUCGAGUGGUUGGCUGAUAUGAGAGAUCAUAAGCUAGACGACAACAUUGCUGCUUGAAUCGAAGACUUCCGCGAUAAUUUUAAAACGUUUCAUAAUGAUUGCUGGCCAAGAUCAUAGGGUUUGACGGUAUUAAAGUGAAGGAUGUUAAUGUUAAUUCUUGUAAUGAAAAUAUCUCCUUUAACACCUUAAUGCACCUCCAACGGUUCGUUGCGAAUCGGCUGCUACAUAUGGAGUAUAGCUGAUGAUUUUUAUUAGAAACUAGCUGUCCCGGCAAACUUUGUCUUGCCAAGCAAUGGUGGUUUGACAACUGUUGAGCUCAUAACAGCACCGCAACCUAGAUUGGUUUUAUUUCGAUCGUGUUGAUUUGCUUUCCAGGCCAGCAAAAAUUCGUGCAGUGGACCAUCAGUACUUUAUCAACUUUCUGACUUUUUUAAUUUAUUUAUAAACACAGCCAUGCAACAAUUAGUAGUAUCUCGUGUAUUCAAUUUAUUCAUUCAUAGUUCUCGACAUAUGAUUUACUUGUGAUUAAAUUUUUACUUUCAUUAUUUUUAUACAUACAUUUAUGUGAUAGUUUUGUGAGUAAACCUUAAUAUGUUUCGAAUGCCUAAUGCUUAAUAAUGUUGUCUUGCAUUAAUAUAAAUUGAAAAUAACUAACAAACUAAUAGUGUAAACGAGCAGCAUUUGAUAGUGCUUGCUUAUAGAUUCGGAGCUAUAACGUGUGAUCAAAACUUAAGGCGAAAGUGGAAGCAUUUCCUCAUUUUUUCAGUUUUUUUAUUUUUUCUUAAAUAACGAAGCAAUAUUUUCAAAAACGGUUUUCGUACACAUGUAGAGUAUGGUUCAAUGUAUCUUCUGAAUUUUUUUGUUGUUAAAAUAGUUUUCCAUUUUUUCUAAAACCAUUUUUUUGUGAAAUUUCGUUCAAAAAAGGUUUCUGCAAAAACGAAAAACAUUUUCCACUACCGUGAGGUCGCCAUUCACCGCUCAUUUAACGGCAUUUUCGUAAAGUAUAUGACAUUAAAAAUCGACGUUUUCGAAUAUUGCACUUCAAUUUAUGUUAACAACUUAACAGUUAUGUUGUUAUUAUAGAAAAAAUAUAAAACGAUUGUAAAAUAUGUUUACAGCCGAGAAAAUAAAAAUUCAAAUGUGUAAUCUCUUGGCUCCUAUUACCGCUCAUGCAUCCAUUCACCGCUCAUAAUGGAUCCAUUCACCGCUCACUGAAUUAUUUUUUCAUGGAAUCACAGAAACUAUUCAUUUAUAAAAACAAAAUAACUUUUAUUUACCAAAGUAUUGAUGAUUCAUGACGUUCAGUUCAUCCUGUUUUGUCAAAAUGGAAUCUUUAACGGGUUUUGCCUGUUGGAAAUUUUUUAUCCGCUGUUUGCCUUGAACAGUUCCCAUGUUGUCCUGCAGCGCAGUGUGAGAAAUAUUUUUUUGAGAACGUGAUUUCAGGUACACCCAUAUAAAAACAUGGUGAAAUGAAAGUUUGUAAAUGUGGCAGCAUGUUACAUUCACUUUUGUUACGAUACUUUACUAACAUCUGACCAUUUUUGUAUGAUUGA